GACGAACGCUGGCGGCAUGCCUAAUACAUGCAAGUCGAGCGAACAGAUGAAGUGCUUGCACUUCUGACGUUAGCGGCGAACGGGUGAGUAACACGUAAGGAAUCUACCUAUAAGCGGGGGAUAACAUUCGGAAACGGGUGCUAAUACCGCAUAAUAUCUUCUUCCGCAUGGAAGAAGAUUGAAAGACGGCUCUGCUGUCACUUAUAGAUGACCUUGCGGUGCAUUAGUUAGUUGGUGGGGUAACGGCCUACCAAGACGAUGAUGCAUAGCCGACCUGAGAGGGUGAUCGGCCACAUUGGGACUGAGACACGGCCCAAACUCCGACGGGAGGCAGCAGUAGGGAAUCUUCCGCAAUGGGCGAAAGCCUGACGGAGCAAUGCCGCGUGAGUGAAGAAGGCCUUCGGGUCGUAAAACUCUGUUAUAAGAGAAGAACAAAUUGUAGAGUAACUGCUACAGUCUUGACGGUAUCUUAUCAGAAAGCCACGGCUGACUACGUGCCAGCCGCCGCCGUAA
rnacentral:rRNA from 1 species